rnacentral:misc_RNA from 1 species
AGCGGUAACGGCAGAGACCUUCUGCACGCCCAACAACAAUAUCAACCCCAACUCCAAGACUAUCCCCACAUCUACCUUAUUGAUGAUUCUCCUUCUCUUUCUCUAUACUCAAUAAAUAUAUAUACACAAAAACUUUACGUAUAUGUGGGGUGUGUGGAUAAUACCAAUAUAAACAAAUUGAAUGAAAAAUUCAAUGAAUAAUAAAUAAGAGUUGAUAAGAAACACAAGAGUUGAGAAAGAGCCAAACCAAAGCUAAAGCCACGGCAAAAGAAGAAGAACAAAGCAAAGGAAAAAGAAAACUAAGAACCAGAAUAAGACGGGCUACCCCUCUCUUUCUUUCUUGGACUGAUUCUAUCUUUUCUCUCUCUCUCUCUCUGUUAUAUGCUUUCAAAAGCAUUUUUUAGCAAACCAAAGAAGCAAGCAUAAGGAAGAAACAAACAGAACAAAGAAAAGUGAGUGAAGGCAGAGAAAAUUAUGUGUUGUUCUUGGAAAAUGGCUUAAAAAGAUUCAUUUCACUCUUUAACCUCACUCACUCUUUGAAAAAAAGCUUCUUUCUUUACCUUGUCCUCAUCCUUUACAUUUCUUUGGUAUUUUCUUGAAGGGUGUAACUGAAGAGUCUGCCUUGGUUUAGGGCAUCUUCUUCUCUAUUCAUGCUGUUUAUGUGUUAGCCUUUAUUCAGAGAGAACCCCCACCCACCUACCAAUCACACAUCUCUUCAUUACCAUCUUCCAACUUAGAAUCCAUUUUCUUUUAUAUAUAUACACAUCUAUCAAUCUACCUUUCCUUUCUUAAUUCUGAUCAUAGAAAUGGCUGUUCAAGCUCAAUACCCAUCAAAUGUUCUCUUUCUAAACAGAAAUGUACAAGAAGGAAAAACCCCACUUGGAAAUGAUUAUUCAUUGCAAUCUCAACCUGGUGGUGGCGCUGGAUCUUUUCUUGAUCAAACACAAAUGUUAUUCAAUCCAGGAGUUGGGGCAAAUUCAAGGAAGAGAGGAAGAGAACUUACAAGUACAACGGCAGCAAUGAAUCCAUUGAUGUCAAUGCAAUCUCAGCCUCAACCGCAACUCAUUGACCUCACUCAACUUCAUACAUCGCCUACUUCUCAGCAACAGCCACACAACCUUGUCUCCACCGGACUCCGUUUAGCUUUCGGAGACCAACAUCAACACCAACACCAACAACAUCAAUUACAG